CCUGUCAGGCAGCUGAAUGUCCCCUAAGUUUGGGGAUCCUGGAACAUGCAGUGGGUUGCCUAGCUUGGCACCUGCCCCAUUCAGAGCCCUCACUUAUUGUCCCUUGUGACUCUCAAAGAUGGCAAUAGCUAGGGGUGAAAUCUAAAUACUCUUGCAGCCUCGUACAUUCAGUAACACCCCUGAAGAAGCCCAUGAGGAGGAGUCACUGGAUUCUCCUCGUCAGCCCAGUGAGGCCCUGGGCAGAAUUGAGAUGGUUCACCAGGGAGGAUUGGCUCUAGGUGCAGACCAUGGCCUAGGAACUAAGAGACUGCAGGGGUGGGUGCUGGAUAGGGAACGUAGCCCUAGGUAGGGUCCAGGGCCCAAGUCUGAAAGAGGCAGGCAACCCCCAGAACACCAAUGGCCUCUGCUCCAGGACUCUUGCUUGUUCUGUACCAAGGAAAGAUCCUCCUGCGCUGACCUAGUGACUGGCUCCCAAGCCCUGCCAUGCCUGCUCUCCGUCCGUCCACUGCUGGGGUCAGACGUGACAUCACCUUUCAGCAAGGUGGCCUAAGGGAAAUCAUGGGAACUACCAGAUGGCACCAUAUUGCAGCCCAGUGACCGGUUCCUGUACAGGCCUUUGCCAGUGCCACAGUCUUUAGGAGCACAGAGAUGAUACCAUGCAGUGCAAUCCAUGUGCAUCCAACACAGCCUGUGCCCACUGUCUCCACAAGGCUUGCUUUUGAUAAACGUUGGUCUUCUAUGGGUCCUGAAGUCCUCCACUUGCACAUGGAGAGAACGUGCCAUUCUCCAUCAUUGGUCAAGGGCAAGUACACUAUUUUCUGUGUUUCAAGCUGAAAAAUGUCACUAUUUCAAAUUGCUCCCAUAAAACAAAAGUUCUGUUGGCAAUGACUGGAAUGAGACACCCCCGUGAGCUGUUCUAUUGCCAGUCUG